AGAAUCAACGCUGGCGGCGUGCCUAACACAUGCAAGUCGCACGAGAAAGGGGAGCGAUCCCUGAGUACAGCGGCGCACGGGUGAGUAACACGUGAAUAAUCUACCUCCGAGUGGGGAAUAACUGAGAGAAAUCUUAGCUAAUACCGCAUAAUACCCACGGGUCAAAGCAGCAAUGCGCUUGGAGAGGAGUUCGCGGCAGAUUAGUUAGUUGGCGGGGUAAUGGCCCACCAAGACGAUGAUCUGUAUCCGGCCUGAGAGGGCGCACGGACACACUGGAACUGAAACACGGUCCAGACUCCUACGGGAGGCAGCAGUGGGGAAUUUUGCGCAAUGGGGGAAACCCUGACGCAGCAACGCCGCGUGGAGGAUGAAGCCCCUUGGGGUGUAAACUCCUUUCGAUCGGGAAGAUAAUGACGGUACCGAGUAUAAGAAGCCCCGGCUAACUUCGUGCCAGCAGCCGC
rnacentral:rRNA from 1 species